GUUCAUAUUCUUCACAACCAGAAACUAAACUCAGGUCCCAUAUUAGCAACUUCGUUACAUGAAGGUAGCAAGCAGGUAGGAAAAGCAAAAGGCAACUCAUGUCCCAACUUAGCAUGAAUCCUGGCGUCCGGAGGCACACCAUUUCACAUUUUAUUCUCUGCAUAGACAAGCAGCGGGGCCGUUCCACGACCGCAAAGGCCUAGGGAAGGAACCAUGGAGCGGAGAUGACGCUCUACUGGGUCUUGAACAUGUGGCGGAUCAGGUCGACAACACGGUUGCUGUAGCCCCACUCGUUGUCGUACCAGGAGACAAGCUUGACGAAGUUGUCGUUCAGAGCAAUUCCAGCCUUGGCGUCGAAGAUGCUCGACCUAAGUGGAAACAAUGAAACAGGAAAAAAAAUGAAUAACACAGCACAGGAACAAAACAACAUUCACUAGAAUUCAUCGUAGCACUAUCGUGGUGUGCCCUAGAAUAUCCACUGGUUCCUAGAACUUGGAGGACCCAAAGCAAAUUUCGUGUACCUGCUGUCACCAGUGAAGUCAGUGGAAACCAAAUCCUCAUCCGUGUAACCCAUGAUACCCUUGAGUGGCCCCUCAGACGCAGCCCUGUAAAACAAUAACAAUCAAAUUAACAACAUUUCACGAAUCCCCAACCAAGAAGAAUGCAAGAAACAUGGACUCAGGAACCUCUCCAUGUCAAACAUGGCAACAGAUUAUCAUUCCAGACAAGAAAUGUAAAUACAUUGAUAAAUUAAUUUAAAACAAUAAACAAGAGACUUACUUGAUAGCCUUCUUAAUGUCCUCAUAGGAGGCACCCUUCUGGAGUCUAACGGUGAGGUCAACAACUGACACAUCCACGGUGGGAACACGGAAGGACAUACCAGUGAGCUUGCCGUUCAAUUCAGGAAGAACCUUAC
rnacentral:lncRNA from 1 species